AUGUCCACUCAUCUGUUUAUAAACUGUUAUUGGGAUGAGCUUGAGAUUGUUUCACCAAGGCACAAACCCAACACAUUAUCACAUGCACCGGCGGUACACAGGACUUGGAUUCCACCUCCAGCCGGGCAUCACAAACUUAAUGUAGAUGCCGCAGUGGACAAGCACAUGCAGACAGGUGCCAUAUCUGUAGUGUGCCGUGACGAUGCAGGUCUAUACGUGGGUUCGUCAGCUCUUGUAUUACAUGGCUUAACGGAUCCUAUGAUUCUAGAAGCGCUUGCUUGUCGGGAGGCCUAG
rnacentral:rRNA from 1 species